rnacentral:misc_RNA from 1 species
GCACUUUUAAAGGUUAUCGACAUGCCUAACACUGAAUUCAAUCUCGAAAGAAAUAGAUGGAAUCCAAUAUCAGGUGAUCAUCAAAGCCUGAUGUGAUUCCACUUGCUACAGAAUAUCUUAUUAGCUAAUUGUACAUCACAUGUUCAGUUUACAGCUUUGAUAUGACUUACACGAAAUAACUUAAAUUUUAGGACGGGAUCUUGUAAUCCAGCAGUGUAGAAGUUCCAUCGAAGCCUUUCUUGCGGAAAUAGUCUGUAUAUUCCUUCACUGUGGUUGCACGAUACUUUGGAGGAUUACAUUCUGAUAACAAUUCCUUAAUUGGUCCAUAA